rnacentral:rRNA from 1 species
AGUGAACGCUGGCGGUAGGCCUAACACAUGCAAGUCGAACGGCAGCACAGUAAGAGCUUGCUCUUACGGGUGGCGAGUGGCGGACGGGUGAGGAAUACAUCGGAAUCUACUUUUUCGUGGGGGAUAACGUAGGGAAACUUACGCUAAUACCGCAUACGACCUACGGGUGAAAGCAGGGGAUCUUCGGACCUUGCGCGAUUGAAUGAGCCGAUGUCGGAUUAGCUAGUUGGCGGGGUAAAGGCCCACCAAGGCGACGAUCCGUAGCUGGUCUGAGAGGAUGAUCAGCCACCCUGGAACUGAGACACGGUCCAGACUCCUACGGGAGGCAGCAGUGGGGAAUAUUGGACAAGGGGCGCAAGCCUGAUCCAGCCAUACCGCGUGGGUGAAGAAGGCCUUCGGGUUGUAAAGCCCUUUUGUUGGGAAAGAAAAGCAGCAGGUUAAUACCCCGCUGUUCUGACGGUACCCAAAGAAUAAGCACCGGCUAACUUCGUG